rnacentral:misc_RNA from 1 species
GAAAUGCGAUACGUAAUGUAAAUUGCAGAAAUCAGUGAAUCAUCAAAUCUUUGAACGCACAUUGCACUAGAAGUAUUCCUUCUAGUAUGCUUGUCUGAGUGUCCUUUCUAUUCGAUCUUAUGGUUCAUCUUAUUUAUGAAUCAUUUGAUAUUGAUUUGCAUACUUCGGUAUGUGUAUUUAAAGUCAUUCCAAUUAGUAGUAUCGUCUCUUAUUCUUGGUAAUCUCUAUACUCUAUAUUAGUAUUAAUCUAUGAUACGAUCGAUUCAAAAAGGAUUAAAAGUUUAUAAACUUAACUCUCAAACAAAGACCUCAGAUCAAGUAGCAUUACCCGCUGAAUUUAAGC